rnacentral:rRNA from 1 species
AACGAACGCUGGCGGCAUGCCUAACACAUGCAAGUCGAACGAGACCUUCGGGUCUAGUGGCGCACGGGUGCGUAACGCGUGGGAACCUGCCCUUAGGUUCGGAAUAACUCCCCGAAAGGGGUGCUAAUACCGGAUAAUGUCUUCGGACCAAAGAUUUAUCGCCUUUGGAUGGGCCCGCGUUGGAUUAGCUAGUUGGUAGGGUAAAAGCCUACCAAGGCGACGAUCCAUAGCUGGUCUGAGAGGAUGAUCAGCCACACUGGGACUGAGACACGGCCCAGACUCCUACGGGAGGCAGCAGUAGGGAAUAUUGGACAAUGGGCGAAAGCCUGAUCCAGCAAUGCCGCGUGAGUGAUGAAGGCCUUAGGGUUGUAAAGCUCUUUUACCCGGGAUGAUAAUGACAGUAUCGGGAGAAUAAGCUCCGGCUAACUCCGUG